CCUACGGGAGGCAGCAGUGGGGAAUAUUGCACAAUGGGCGCAAGCCUGAUGCAGCGACGCCGCGUGAGGGAUGACGGCCUUCGGGUUGUAAACCUCUUUCAGUAGGGAAGAAGCGAAAGUGACGGUACCUGCAGAAGAAGCGCCGGCUAACUACGUGCCAGCAGCCGCGGUAAUACGUAGGGCGCAAGCGUUAUCCGGAAUUAUUGGGCGUAAAGAGCUCGUAGGCGGUUUGUCGCGUCUGCCGUGAAAGUCCGGGGCUCAACUCCGGAUCUGCGGUGGGUACGGGCAGACUAGAGUGAUGUAGGGGAGACUGGAAUUCCUGGUGUAGCGGUGAAAUGCGCAGAUAUCAGGAGGAACACCGAUGGCGAAGGCAGGUCUCUGGGCAUUAACUGACGCUGAGGAGCGAAAGCAUGGGGAGCGAACAGGAUUAGAUACCCUGGUAGUCCAUGCCGUAAACGUUGGGCACUAGGUGUGGGGGUACAUUCCACGUUUUCCGCGCCGUAGCUAACGCAUUAAGUGCCCGCCUGGGGNGACGCGCAGNAACACAAGAGUAGAGNGNGNGAGNGCGACGACGACGACGAGGAGAGG
rnacentral:rRNA from 1 species